ensembl:miRNA
UGUCUCACAGUGAACCGGUCUCUUUCCCUG